rnacentral:rRNA from 1 species
ACUCCCACGGGAGGCAGCAGUGGGGAAUAUUGCACAAUGGGCGCAAGCCUGAUGCAGCCAUGCCGCGUGUAUGAAGAAGGCCUUCGGGUUGUAAAGUACUUUCAGCAGUGAGGAAGGCGGAGUCGUUAAUAGCGGCCUCGUUUGACGUUAGCUGCAGAAGAAAGCACCGGCUAACUCCGUGCCAGCAGCCGCGGUAAUACGGAGGGUGCGAGCGUUAAUCGGAAUUACUGGGCGUAAAGCGCAUGCAGGUGGUUUGUUAAGUCAGAUGUGAAAGCCCGGGGCUCAACCUCGGAAUUGCAUUUGAAACUGGCAGACUAGAGUACUGUAGAGGGGGGUAGAAUUUCAGGUGUAGCGGUGAAAUGCGUAGAGAUCUGAAGGAAUACCGGUGGCGAAGGCGGCCCCCUGGACAGAUACUGACACUCAGAUGCGAAAGCGUGGGGAGCAAACAGGAUUAGAUA